CGUACCAGGUGAGGAUUGUCUGCGGGAUCUUCUCUUGGGGGGCUCUGGUCUCACAACCCGACAGUGGGGGGAAAGGGAGAGAUCCUGGACCCUGCCCGGGUAUCCAAACUCAGGGAGGAGCCUCCCCCGUGCUUUCCGGCCUGGGCGAUGUCCGAGUGUCCGCUCGGCUCAGGGCCAGAGCUCUGGCGUGCAGCCCCCGCCCCUGGCUCCCGUGGGUCCGGCUCCUCAGCCCCAGCUCGGGUUCCGGCGCCGACCCCUCCCAGCCCUCUGCCCGAGUGCAGCCCAGCGCAGUCCGGAUCCGUUUCAGGACACUCGCGGCCACGGCUAAAGAUAGGAGGACACCUCACCAUCGACUAAAAAUACGACCCUGAGCCCGGGCGGGGAUGGCGGCGGGAGGGCACUCCCGGGUCCUGGGGUGGGGGGCGGGGGCUCUGGCGCAGUGUGGAGGGCUGGACCGGGAGUUCAGGUUCGGGAUGCGCGGCGCACCGCAGGCCGAGGGGGAAGCGGGCGUGGCCGCCGGGACCAAGGCGCGGGCGGGAAACAUGGUGCAGCCCGAGGCACCCGGGAAAGGAUCUACGUGGAGGUGAGUCGGGGGCCGGGGCGCGAGCUGGGAUGGGGCGCCUCAAGGAUGGGCCUCCCUAGGAGCCGCGGUCGGGCCGCAGAGUCCCGGCCUGAACUCACCUUGAGCGCGUUCAAGCGACUGACCGGCGGGCGGCGAAAGCUCAGGAGCUGGACCGCGCGGCGAUGGGACAGACCUGGGCUGUGAACUUACAGUGCUGACAGUGGCCCCUAAAGCCCCGCCCCCUGCCGCGGAGCCAAUGCCGGGACCGCCCCAACUAGGCCCCGCCCACAGCCUCGCCCUACUCCCUGGCCCGCCUGGGUUCCCCCUCUGGAGGCGCAGCGCGGGGGUCCAGCAGUCGCGCGGGCCCGAGGGUCCAGUCCAAGCUCGGGCGGCUGCGGCCCAGGCAGCGUCGGCUGCCCGGGCUGGACUCCGCGGACUCCGGCUGUGCCCGUCGGAACCAAAACUCUCGGUUCUAGGAGGGCCGGGUCCGGGGAGGCGCCCGCACAAGUGUAUUCAGUGACUACUAAGGAAAUGAAUGAGGCCUUAGAGGCGUCUAUGUUAAAAUAUUACAGACUUCCGAGAGCUUUCAGGAGUUUGCCGCCCCUUAGAAUAGAGGGCAUUGAGGGUGUGUGCGGGCGGAGUGGCCGGGCCAUGCCAGUGUUUGCUGUCAGGCUAAGUGGCUUCCGGGGCUGGGGUGGGACCCUUACUUAGACUCAUUCCAACAUUAGUUGAUUGGCUGGUUGGUUGGUUCAUUCAUUCUUUCAUUCAUUCAGUACGAGCAACAUUUACUGAAGGGCAGGCCCUACACAGGAGCUGGAGAUAGACUAAAGGGAACUCUGCCCUUGCUCCUUUCAGUGAUUCAGCAGAUAAUUGUGCAUCUAUAGGUGCCAGGCGCUGUUCUUGUCGCUGGGGAUGCAGCCCCCUCCGGACUGGGACCUACUGUCCAAUGAAGGGAAAUGGAGGAAACCCAAGUCCCCAAGUAGACUGUGAUACCCGUCUGAGGGAGCAAGUGCUAAGAAGAGUGGGGCAAAGGAAGGGUGGAUGGUAAUGAGAUGGAGGAAGGGGCCACAGACAAAGGCAUGUGGGUGGCCUCUAGAAGCUGGAAAAGUCAAGGAAACAGAUUCGCCCCCAGAACCUCCAGAAGGAACACGGCCCAGCUGACGGCUUGAUUUUAGACCCAUGUUGGACUUCAAACCAACGGAACCAUAACAUCAGUCAGGUGGAUUCUGCCAGGACUGGCCUGGUGGCUCAGAGGAAAACUGAGCCCUGGACAGUGGAGGAAUGGGGCCCUGGGCCAAAUUGUCGUGUGUGUGGAUAAGUAUUGUACCUCUCUCCCUUCCUGCCACCACGGCUCUGCCAAGAAUCCACCCACCCAGGCUUGCCUGUGCCCCUUACCAAGUGCCUCUUGCCCCUGAGCUCCUCAAAUCCUCUGAGAGCCCAGCAAGGUGGGCAGAGCCAGCAUCACUAUCCCCCUUUACAGAAAUGGAAACCGAAGCUCGGGCCCUGACAGUGAUCUACUUAGACUGCAAGUGGCAAGACAUGCUGGCUCCGGGCCCUCGUCCCCACUCAGUCUUCUCACCCAGCCAUUGUCACCCCCCACCCCGCCUUCCUUCCCACACACAGCCAGGUAGGGGGACAGCUCGGUGCCAGGCCCUGAGCACUGCUUCUGAGCCACAGACCCAGGUUCUGAGCUGGCUGUGCUGCUGACUUGCUCUGUGACCACAGACGAAGAACGGACAGUCCCGUUCUGAGCCUUCUUGCCUGUCAAAUGGGAGUUACAUGAGUCCCAAGCAAGAGAAGGGACUUGCGAGUGUAUUGUUGAUGGGACCACACAGUCCCCGCAGGCAGGAGUUUCAUGGAAACAUUAUAACAGGAGCUUUGGGGGGUGGUGACUGGCCUUGUCACCUGACCUGGAAUGAGUCUAAUGAUGCCUAGAUGACUCUAAUGAUGACCCCCCUGAGCCUGCGGCGCAGCCCCGCCCAUCAGCUGAGCGUCCUCCAUUGGAGGAAGGGGCUCGCGGAAGGUCAGGAGCUCCAUUCAGGGCUGGCGGCAAAACAAAGUUACAGCGGUGAAAGCUUGCAGAGGCAAAGACCCUCAUCCAAGGUCACUCAAAGCCAGGAACGAACUCCAGAGCCCUUUGGAGAGGUUCUGGUGUGUGUGUGUGUGUGUGUGUGUGUGUGUGUGUGUGUGUGUGUGUGCAGUUGGGGAGCCUUGGGGGAUGGAUAGAGAGCAGCAGAUUUGGCCCCCGAGCCUGACCCAACCCCCGGACCCCUCCCUCAGCGACUAGCCAUCCUCCCAACAAGGACCCAAAGCCACAGGAACCGCGCUCUGGGGACUGUUUUAAUCCCACCUGGCUGUGACGUGGCUCCGCCCAGUGCCGGCUCCCUGUGCUGCUCUCCUGCCAUCAGCCAGAGAUACGGCCCCCACAAAGCCCACAUCCAAGGCCCGCUUUGUGCCGGGCACUGGGUUCUGUGCUUUGCAAGCACUCAGGUAGGUGGUUCAUUCUCCCCAUUCACAGAUGCGGUCAUGUCACUUGGCUGGGGCCUGAGGAAUCCCUGGGGAUGGGGCUGCUGGCAGCUCUCAGCUCUGCUGAAUGGACGAGAUCUUUGCAGAUACGCCCAGUGUUGCCAUGGCAGCCCUGCAAU